CCUACGGGAGGCUGCAGUGAGGAAUAUUGGUCAAUGGACGAGAGUCUGAACCAGCCAAGUAGCGUGAAGGAUGACUGCCCUAUGGGUUGUAAACUUCUUUUAUAUGGGAAUAAAAUGUUCCACGUGUGGGAUUUUGUAUGUACUAUAUGCAUAAGGAUCGGCUAACUCCGUGCCAGCAGCCGCGGUAAUACGGAGGAUCCGAGCGUUAUCCGGAUUUAUUGGGUUUAAAGGGAGCGUAGGUGGAUUGUUAAGUCAGUUGUGAAAGUUUGCGGCUCAACCGUAAAAUUGCAGUUGAAACUGGCAGUCUUGAGUACAGUAGAGGUGGGCGGAAUUCGUGGUGUAGCGGUGAAAUGCUUAGAUAUCACGAAGAACUCCGAUUGCGAAGGCAGUUCACUGGACUGCAACUGACACUGAGGCUCGAAAGUGUGGGUAUCAAACAGGAUUAGAUACCCGGGUAGUC
rnacentral:rRNA from 1 species